rnacentral:lncRNA from 1 species
CAUGACUGGAAAAUAAAACACUGGAAAACCUAAAAUCUAAUGAUGAGGUUUCCGUCAUUCUGAAUUAGAAAUAACAGGUCUUUUAUUCGUGCGUUUCUGGUAUAUCGAGAAAAAUUCGGUUAAAAAGAUAGCCUAUGACGGAGCUAAUUUCUAGAACAUUUCAAAUUAUAUCUUGUUACAUGUACAGUAUAUACCAGAAUAGGACAAGGAAACGAAUGUUAUAUUCGUGCAUCAUUAUACAUUUUGAACUUAAAUCGACGUAAAGUAAAGUAAUCUUCAUUAAGAGACGUAAUAAUAUGAGCGGGUUUGUGGUUGCCAUGUUUUCACCACUGCAUGGUUCGUUGGUAGUCUAAGAUUGGCACUUCAGAAUUUGAAAUUUAUCAGAUUUUUUUCAUUUUAAAAUGUUAUAUGGAACGAGUUCAGUAUUAAAAUGUAAGCAUGAUUAUAUCACAUCAGCAAGGUUAUUAGAACUAUUAAAAAUUAGGUCAGAUAAUAAGCCAACCAAUUAUAGAACGUUAAAACAAUCAGUGUAUAUAUGUAUGUAUGUCGAGCAAUCAAUAAAACAAAAGACAAAUAGACCAAAUCGAUCUGUAUAUUUACAUAAACCGAACAAGUUUUAUUGACGGUAUGCCAAAUAUGCCAUUAAAUUCUAUGGCAAAGAGAUUCCGAUAUCAAAGUCUAUUGUUCCGGGUAACAUUGGGGUAUAUUUAAACAACGCUGUUCAAUGAUAAAAUAUUCGGUCAAGGUUUAAGGAUUGUGUUGAAUUCUUGCCCCAUAUUUAUCAAAAUAUUACAGGAUUAUACUGGUUACAAGGUUAUUUAAUGGUCAUUUAAACAGCUGACCAUCUUCUUAUUUGCGUCAAUAGAUUAGAGUACAUUAAAUACAUGUGGCAUGACUUUUUGUUUGUAAACAAACCCUUCACAAUACUAUUCAAUGUCCAUUUUGUCACAGGUACUUAGAGAGGGAGUGUCGGCUUAUUUAUUUGUGCUAAGUGUUUAUUUGGCAGGUGAAAGUUCACAGACAUGGUAUUGCGAACUUUGUGCUGAGUGCAUUCAUAUUUGGGUACGAGGAGGAAAAGGGGAAUGGUCAACUCAGAAAUAUCAAUUACUACAGAAGUGAGGAGUUUGUAAGAGAGAUGUAUAAUGUUAAAAUCUUUAACCAUGUGUUGCAUAGAUAUAAAAAAAAAAGACGUGGUAUGAUUGCCAAUGAGACAACUGUCCACAAGAGACCAAAAUGACACAGAAAUAUACAGUCGAAGAAUUCUUAUAAAAACUAUAUUGAAUAUAAUAUCUUUUUCAACUUUUCAUAUCUGAUUUUCUGAUUUGUUUCUAUUGCGUUUUCAUUUUACAUAUAUAGAAGUUUUUUUUUUUGUUUUUUUUAAUCCCCGCCAUUUUCAAGCCUCAAAUAAUCAGAUACUACAUAUAUAUAUGCAUAUACAAAUCUCGUACUUAUAUUUCUAUUGACACAUUGUAUUAUUGUUUAAAUCUUUCUAAUUGGUUGACAGUUGAAGAGGUGUAUGCUGCAGAGUUUUACCUAAUUGCGUAAUAAUAAUGCGGGAUAUACAUUUGUACGUCAAUGAGAAAACAAUCAUAAGAAUGCGGGAUAUACAUUUGUACGUCAAUGAGAAAACAAUCAUAAGAGCAUAAGAAGUACAGUAAUUUUUUUUAUUCCCAUUGAGUGCCAUAAAAGAAUACGCAAUGUUCAUCUUAUUACGUAACAUUGAAGGGAGGUAAAAAAAAUUGUACUGAUCACACUGUCAUAUCUACAAAUAUAUAAGUGUUGCUUAUUCUUUAGUUUUCUAUGUUGUGUCAUGUGUACUAUUGUUUCAAUUCAAUUCUUUAUUACUUUAAACACAUUAUGCUUAUCAGUGCAAUAAAUACAGAUACAUUUUUAUAGCACAACAUAAUAUAAUACACCAGAGAAGCAAAACAAUAUCAAGUAUUGACCAAUAACAGUUCGGUCCUAUGAAUAAGUGCAUUUAGACAAGAAUUUACACAAAUUACGCAAAUCUUUUACAUUUUCAGUGCUGAGAAGUUGCACUAAUUUGAACGACGAUGGACGUCUAUAAUAACAAGGUUUAAUAAACUGUCUCCUUAAGUCUCUAUAGCAUUCACAUUGUAAAACAAAAUGGAAUUCAUCUUCAGUGAUAUUCAAAGUACAAAGAGUACACUUUCUAUCUAACCUGAUAACGGCCUACUUCAACAAACAAAUUAUUAGAAGACAAUCUAAGGCGAGUUAAAUACACUCUAAAAUUCAGAUGUUUUACUUUAGUUAGAUAAUUCUGUAAACAUACAUUAUAGACAAUAUAUUUAUACAAAUAACACUUAGAGGAAACGUUCAGUUGAUCAUUCAAAGUCUGUUUUGUUUGAUCAUAUAUCCUUGUUUUUACAAAUAAUAAUAAAUUUGUAUCAAUAAAUUAAUCAAAUUGUCUUGGUUAUACCAGAUCGCAUUUAAACCUAGUAAGUUAAAUAAUAAUUGUUGUAGUUGAUAAAUCCAACUGCUUUUCUAAUAUUACAGAAAUAAUACAGUUGUUUCCUGUAGCAGUUUUUAAGAAUACAGUUGUCUGUUUGUCUUUUUCAUUUUUAGCCUGGCGUUGUCAGUUUAUUUUCGAUUUAUGAGUUUGACUGUCCCUUCGGUAUCUUUCGUCCCUCUUCUACAAUGGACACUAUUUAAACCAAAGUUUAUUUGAGUACUGCAAGUAAACUCUAGAGAGCCCUUAUGCAAAAUGUCAGAGAGCACAUGUCAUACGUACGUGCAUUACAAGUAUGUGGUGUGCCCAGCGUUGGUACUUUCGUUUUAUGUUGAAUAGUUCGACUAUCGAAAUCGUCUACUGACAAAGUAAAUAACAUAGUUUAAACGUGCUUGUUGUUGUCGGUUGCUGUCACAUUGACAUAUACCCAUGAUUAAUAUCCAUAUUUGUAGACAAAAAAUGUUUUCUGCGCAUUUUAUUUUUAUAUAACAAGAUGUGGCUUCAUGUACGUUAAUCACAUGUUGCAACUGAGAAGUAUAUAAUUUAACAUGCAGUACGAAUAUUAACCCACACAUAAUGCUUAUCCGUAUCCCGUUCGCACCCGUAUCCCGUUCCGACAAGUGACCCG